AGAGUUUGAUCCUGGCUCAGGAUGAACGCUGGCGGCGUGCCUAACACAUGCAAGUCGAACGAAGCUUGACGGAUGAUUUCUUCGGAAUGAAACCUGAUAUGACUUAGUGGCGGACGGGUGAGUAACACGUGAGCAACCUGCCUUUCAGAGGGGGAUAACGGCUGGAAACGGUCGCUAAUACCGCAUGAUGUGUUCGGAUGGCAUCAUCUGAACAUCAAAGAUUUAUCGCUGAAAGAUGGGCUCGCGUCUGAUUAGAUAGUUGGUGGGGUAACGGCCUACCAAGUCGACGAUCAGUAGCCGGACUGAGAGGUUGAACGGCCACAUUGGGACUGAGAUACGGCCCAGACUCCUACGGGAGGCAGCAGUGGGGAAUAUUGCACAAUGGGGGAAACCCUGAUGCAGCAACGCCGCGUGAAGGAUGACGGUUUUCGGAUUGUAAACUUCUUUUCUUAGUGACGAAGACAGUGACGGUAGCUAAGGAAUAAGCAUCGGCUAACUACGUGCCAGCAGCCGCGGUAAUACGUAGGAUGCAAGCGUUAUCCGGAUUUACUGGGUGUAAAGGGAGCGCAGGCGGGACUGCAAGUUGGAUGUGAAAUACCGUGGCUUAACCACGGAACUGCAUCCAAAACUGUAGUUCUUGAGUGAAGUAGAGGCAAGCGGAAUUCCGAGUGUAGCGGUGAAAUGCGUAGAUAUUCGGAGGAACACCAGUGGCGAAGGCGGCUUGCUGGGCUUUAACUGACGCUGAGGCUCGAAAGUGUGGGGAGCAAACAGGAUUAGAUACCCUGGUAGUCCACACUGUAAACGAUGAUAGCUAGGUGUGGGGGGUCUGACCCCUUCCGUGCCGGAGUUAACGCAAUAAGCUAUCCACCUGGGGAGUACGACCGCAAGGUUGAAACUCAAAGGAAUUGACGGGGGCCCGCACAAGCAGUGGAGUAUGUGGUUUAAUUCGAAGCAACGCGAAGAACCUUACCAGGUCUUGACAUCCGAUGCAUAGCACAGAGAUGUGUGAAAUCCUUCGGGACAUCGAGACAGGUGGUGCAUGGUUGUCGUCAGCUCGUGUCGUGAGAUGUUGGGUUAAGUC
rnacentral:rRNA from 1 species